UACAGAGGGGGCAAGCGUUGUUCGGAAUUACUGGGCGUAAAGGGCGCGUAGGCGGCCUGCUAAGUCGAACGGGAAAUCCCUGGGCUCAACCCAGGAACUGCGUCCGAUACUGGUUGGCUUGAAUCCGGGAGAGGGAUGUGGAAUUCCAGGUGUAGCGGUGAAAUGCGUAGAUAUCUGGAGGAACACCGGUGGCGAAGGCGACAUCCUGGACCGGCAUUGACGCUGAGGCGCGAAAGCCAGGGGAGCAAACGGG
rnacentral:rRNA from 1 species